CAUUCGAUCUCUCUGUUCGGUCGCAUUUCGUGUAUCUGUGCUUCGUCAACUUCCCACGACUACGAUGUGGUCGUGACGGCAAUCUUCAUCAAUCCAUUUCACAAUUAACUUUAAAUAGUUUAUUUAAUUUGUAAAAUACUCUACAACUAUGAGAGCUAAGUGGCGUAAGAAGAGGAUGCGAAGGCUUAAGCGUAAGAGGAGGAAGAUGCGUGAAAGGUCCAAAUAAAUUUGUUGGUGACAACACUAAAAGACUUGAUGCACCUGGUACAGAAAUGAAAACUCAAAAGUUGGAUGCAUGACAGGAAGCAUCAGUUCCAUCAUUCAUUUUUUAUCUUGAACUUUCCAUUUGUUUGGAAUUACUGGAUACCACAACAGCUUGUAAAUUUCAGAAAUACAAGCUCCUAAUAAAUGUUUCUUUGUGGA